GUGGAGUUGUUCCGUCGCCGACGUCGCGCCACGGAGCCGUUCGAGCGCACGUUUGUUGCCGUUGCAUCGCGAGGAGGCCGGGCGAGGGUGCGUUUUCGCCGUUCUUGACGUCGUGCCGGUGCUAGAAUCGCUGUUGAGAUUUUUUGCGUCGACCGUUGGCGUUUCGAGUCUUACACGACGUAGGAGCGUCGGAUUGCAGUGAGACUUGGUUCGUUGGAUUCAGGACUUCGAGAGAAAUCCAUGAAGCCCAAGAUUGUUGAUUUUGGUGAAGAUCCGUGGAGUGUUGUUAUCGCUAGUUCGUUGGAUUGCGCCGAGCUUGGCAGGGACUCCGGUGACCUCCUUCACUACCAGGGUUUAGCUUUUGAGAGCCAUCGUCUUCGGCUGCUGCUGUUGCUGAUCAGGAU